AACGCUAGCUACAGGCUUAACACAUGCAAGUCGAGGGGAAACGACAUCGAAAGCUUGCUUUUGGUGGGCGUCGACCGGCGCACGGGUGAGUAACGCGUAUCCAACCUGCCCACCACUUGGGGAUAACCUUGCGAAAGUAAGACUAAUACCCAAUGAUAUCCCACGAAGGCAUCCGAAUGGGAUUAAAGAUUUAUCGGUGAUGGAUGGGGAUGCGUCUGAUUAGCUUGUUGGCGGGGUAACGGCCCACCAAGGCAACGAUCAGUAGGGGUUCUGAGAGGAAGGUCCCCCACAUUGGAACUGAGACACGGUCCAAACUCCUACGGGAGGCAGCAGUGAGGAAUAUUGGUCAAUGGGCGAGAGCCUGAACCAGCCAAGUAGCGUGCAGGAUGACGGCCCUAUGGGUUGUAAACUGCUUUUAUGCGGGGAUAAAGUGUACCAUGUAUGGUGUUUUGCAGGUACCGCAUGAAUAAGGACCGGCUAAUUCCGUGCCAGCAGCCGCGGUAAUACGGAAGGUCCGGGCGUUAUCCGGAUUUAUUGGGUUUAAAGGGAGCGUAGGCCGUUUUUUAAGCGUGUUGUGAAAUGCCGCGGCUCAACCGUGGCACUGCAGCGCGAACUGGAUGACUUGAGUGCGCGGGAGGUAGGCGGAAUUCGUGGUGUAGCGGUGAAAUGCUUAGAUAUCACGAAGAACUCCGAUUG
rnacentral:rRNA from 1 species